GCACCUUUCCAUAUUUCUUUCUUUCUCUUGUGGGAGUUCCUGGGCAGUUGGGAGCAUACCUCUGAGUUCUAAUCAAUCCCUAGGACCACUUGCAAGGAAACCGGGAUGUCAAGUGGACAAGCCGGUGGCGAUACGCGUUUGAAAGGAACACUUUGAAGGUGUGUUUGAACUUAGGAUGGGUGAAGAUCAAGUGACGAACCUGAACCGAACACACGUUAAAUGAAGCUUCCGCGUUAAAUCUUGUUUUGUUUUGAUAAAAGUGAAUUAUGUAAACACUUAGCACUAUAUUUUGAAUACUUUAGACAUGUAUAAUUGUUAACUUGACAAAGUUUUUGUAAAGUCGCAUUUUUACAUUAAAAUGC